GCAUAUCAUAAGCGGAGGAAAAGAAACCAACAGGGAUUACCUCAGUAACGGCGAGUGAAGCGGUAACAGCUCAAAUUUGAAAUCUGGCCUCACGGUCCGAGUUGUAAUUUGUAGAGGAUGCUUCGAGCAUGGUCUGGCCUAAGUUCCUUGGAACAGGACGUCAUAGAGGGUGAGAAUCCCGUAUGCGGCCAGGUGCCUACGCUCAUGUGAAGCUCCUUCGACGAGUCGAGUUGUUUGGGAAUGCAGCUCAAAAUGGGUGGUAAAUUUCAUCUAAAGCUAAAUAUUGGCCAGAGACCGAUAGCGCACAAGUAGAGUGAUCGAAAGAUGAAAAGCACUUUGGAAAGAGAGUUAAACAGUACGUGAAAUUGUUGAAAGGGAAGCGCUUGCAACCAGACUUGCGCGCGGCCGAUCAUCCGGUGUUCUCACCGGUGCACUCGGCCGUGCUCAGGCCAGCAUCGGUUUUGGCGGCUGGAUAAAGGCCCUAGGAAUGUGGCUCCUCUCGGGGAGUGUUAUAGCCUAGGGUGCAAUGCAGCCUGCUGGGACCGAGGACCGCGCUUCGGCUAGGAUGCUGGCGUAAUGGUUGUAAGCGGCCCGUCUUGAAACACGGACCAAGGAGUCUAACAUCUAUGCGAGUGUUUGGGUGUCAAACCCAUACGCGUAAUGAAAGUGAACGGAGGUGAGAACCCUUAAGGGUGCAUCAUCGACCGAUCCUGAUGUCUUCGGAAGGAUUUGAGUAAGAGCAUAGCUGUUGGGACCCGAAAGAUGGUGAACUAUGCCUGAAUAGGGUGAAGCCAGAGGAAACUCUGGUGGAGGCUCGCAGCGGUUCUGACGUGCAAAUCGAUCGUCAAAUUUGGGUAUAGGGGCGAAAGACUAAUCGAACCAUCUAGUAGCUGGUUCU
rnacentral:rRNA from 1 species